GACGAACGCUGGCGGCGUGCUUAACACAUGCAAGUCGAACGGAAAGGCCCUGCUUUUGUGGGGUGCUCGAGUGGCGAACGGGUGAGUAACACGUGAGUAACCUGCCCUUGACUUUGGGAUAACUUCAGGAAACUGGGGCUAAUACCGGAUAGGAGCUCCUGCUGCAUGGUGGGGGUUGGAAAGUUUCGGCGGUUGGGGAUGGACUCGCGGCUUAUCAGCUUGUUGGUGGGGUAGUGGCUUACCAAGGCUUUGACGGGUAGCCGGCCUGAGAGGGUGACCGGCCACAUUGGGACUGAGAUACGGCCCAGACUCCUACGGGAGGCAGCAGUGGGGAAUAUUGCACAAUGGGCGGAAGCCUGAUGCAGAAACGCCGCGUGCGGGAUGACGGCCUUCGGGUUGUAAACCGCUUUCGCCUGUGACGAAGCGUGAGUGACGGUAAUGAGUAAAGAAGCACCGGCUAACUACGUG
rnacentral:rRNA from 1 species